rnacentral:rRNA from 1 species
UACGAAGGGGACUAGCGUUGUUCGGAUUUACUGGGCGUAAAGCGCGCGUAGGCGGACACUUAAGUCAGGGGUGAAAUCCCAAGGCUCAACCUUGGAACUGCCUUUGAUACUGGGGAUCUCGAGUCCGGAAGAGGUUGGUGGAACUGCGAGUGUAGAGGUGAAAUUCGUAGAUAUUCGCAAGAACACCCGUGGCGAAGGCGGCUACUCUGGUACGUGACUGACGCUGAGACGCGAAAGCGUGGGGAGCAAACAGGG